UACAGAGGGUGCGAGCGUUGUUCGGAAUUACUGGGCGUAAAGCGCGCGCAGGCGGCUUUUUAAGUCCGACGGUGAAAUGCCGGGGCUCAACCCCGUGCCCGCCGCGGAUACUGGAGAGCUGGAGACGAGUAGAGGCAAGCGGAAUUCCGGGUGUAGCGGUGGAAUGCGUAGAGAUCCGGAAGAACACCGGAGGCGAAGGCGGCUUGCUGGGCUCGGUCUGACGCUGAGGCGCGAAAGCGUGGGGAGCGAACAGG
rnacentral:rRNA from 1 species